rnacentral:rRNA from 1 species
AGUGAACGCUGGCGGUAGGCCUAACACAUGCAAGUCGAACGGCAGCACAGUAAGAGCUUGCUCUUACGGGUGGCGAGUGGCGGACGGGUGAGGAAUACAUCGGAAUCUACUUUUUCGUGGGGGAUAACGUAGGGAAACUUACGCUAAUACCGCAUACGACCUACGGGUGAAAGCAGGGGAUCUUCGGACCUUGCGCGAUUGAAUGAGCCGAUGUCGGAUUAGCUAGUUGGCGGGGUAAAGGCCCACCAAGGCGACGAUCCAUAGCUGGUCUGAGAGGAUGAUCAGCCGCACUGGAACUGAGACACGGUCCAGACUCCUACGGGAGGCAGCAGUGGGGAAUAUUGGACAAUGGGCGCAAGCCUGAUCCAGCCAUACCGCGUGGGUGAAGAAGGCCUUCGGGUUGUAAAGCCCUUUUGUUGGGAAAGAAAAGCAGCAGGUUAAUACCCCGCUGUUCUGACGGUACCCAAAGAAUAAGCACCGGCUAACUUCGUG